rnacentral:rRNA from 1 species
UACAGAGGUCUCAAGCGUUGUUCGGAUUCAUUGGGCGUAAAGGGUGCGUAGGUGGCGAGGUUAGUCAGGUGUGAAAUCUCGGGGCUCAACCCCGAAACUGCACUUGAUACUGCCUUGCUAGAGUACUGGAGAGGAGAUUGGAAUUUACGGUGUAGCAGUGAAAUGCGUAGAUAUCGUAAGGAAGACCAGUGGCGAAGGCGAAUCUCUGGACAGUUACUGACACUGAGCCACGAAGGCCAGGGGAGCAAACGGG